AGUGAACGCUGGCGGUAGGCCUAACACAUGCAAGUCGAACGGCAGCACAGUAAGAGCUUGCUCUUACGGGUGGCGAGUGGCGGACGGGUGAGGAAUACAUCGGAAUCUACUUUUUCGUGGGGGAUAACGUAGGGAAACUUACGCUAAUACCGCAUACGACCUACGGGUGAAAGCAGGGGAUCUUCGGACCUUGCGCGAUUGAAUGAGCCGAUGUCGGAUUAGCUAGUUGGCGGGGUAAAGGCCCACCAAGGCGACGAUCCGUAGCUGGUCUGAGAGGAUGAUCAGCCACACUGGAACUGAGACACGGUCCAGACUCCUACGGGAGGCAGCAGUAGGGAAUAUUGGACGAUGGGCGCAAGCCUGAUCCAGCCAUACCGCGUGGGUGAAGAAGGCCUUCGGGUUGUAAAGCCCUUUUGUUGGGAAAGAAAAGCAGCAGGUUAAUACCCCGCUGUUCUGACGGUACCCAAAGAAUAAGCACCGGCUAACUUCGUG
rnacentral:rRNA from 1 species